GAUGGGCUCAAACCACUGACUUUUCAGUCAACAUCCAACAGCACUAACCCAGUGUUCCAGAGACACUGCUUGUUAAACAGUGAAAGCUGUUGCUCAAUUGUGUCAUCCAUAAUUGUCAAAUAUUGCCAUUUAGUAGCACAAGGAAGUAUUCUCCGUUGCCAAGCUAGAGUACCCAUAACUCUUCUGUUUUGUUGAACAUUCUUCCCCACCACAAACCCUCUUUAGAAGACUGGGGGCUCCUAAAGCAUUGAGGCCGAGAGUCCCAUCCUUGUGCAUGUUUGGGCAUUGACCCAGGGCCAAGUCAGUGGGAGACUCCUCCACGCCUACGCCAGGUCCCCAGGUGACAACUGCAGUCUCUGGAUCUGAAGUCAUCCACUUUCCCAUUCCUAGCUCACCUCACCCAUCGUGAAGCCUGGAUUUCCUUUUUAUCACUGGUUUUGAUGGAUUUGAUUAAGAUGUUCCUUGGUGAAGUUUUCUUCAUGUUUCUUGUUCUUAGAAUAAUCAUAUUUCUGUAAUAUUUGAAGUUUAUGGUUUCCAUGGAGCUUCUAAAUCUUUCAUCCAGUAUGUUUUAAAUAUCUUUGUCUCUCUUCUCCACUACACGCCCUUCAGGGAUUCCAUUUAGCCCUAUACUGGGGGGUUUAAAGUUUUGAUGCCGAUGGUCUUUUUAUGUUUUCAAGUCAUUUGUUACUGUGUGUUUCAUUUAUGUUAGUUUCAACUUCUAUUCCUUCUAGUUCAAUAAUCUUCUCUUCUGCAAUGUUUAAUCCACUGCCUUCUUCCAUUUCAGACUGUAAAUCAUACUUUUUAUCUACAGAAUUUGAUAUUUAAAAAAUUUUCAACCUCCCCAUUUAAAUACAAUUAUACUAA
rnacentral:lncRNA from 1 species